rnacentral:rRNA from 1 species
GACGAACGCUGGCGGCGUGCUUAACACAUGCAAGUCGAACGGAAAGGCCCUGCUUUUGUGGGGUGCUCGAGUGGCGAACGGGUGAGUAACACGUGAGUAACCUGCCCUUGACUUUGGGAUAACUUCAGGAAACUGGGGCUAAUACCGGAUAGGAGCUCCUGCUGCAUGGUGGGGGUUGGAAAGUUUCGGCGGUUGGGGAUUGACUCGCGGCUUAUCAGCUUGUUGGUGGGGUAGUGGCUUACCAAGGCUUUGACGGGUAGCCGGCCUGAGAGGGUGACCGGCCACAUUGGGACUGCGAUACGGCGCAGACUCCUACGGGAGGCAGCAGUGGGGAGUAUUGCACAAUGGGCGGAAGCCUGAUGCAGCAACGCCGCGUGCGGGAUGACGGCCUUCGGGUUGUAAACCGCUUUCGCCUGUGACGAAGCGUGAGUGACGGUAAUGGGUAAAGAAGCACCGGCUAACUACGUG